rnacentral:rRNA from 1 species
AACGAACGCUGGCGGCAUGCCUAACACAUGCAAGUCGAACGAGACCUUCGGGUCUAGUGGCGCACGGGUGCGUAACGCGUGGGAACCUGCCUUUAGGUUCGGAAUAACUCAGAGAAAUUUGAGCUAAUACCGGAUGAUGUCUUCGGACCAAAGAUUUAUCGCCUUUAGAUGGGCCCGCGUUGGAUUAGCUAGUUGGUGGGGUAAAGGCCUACCAAGGCGACGAUCCAUAGCUGGUCUGAGAGGAUGAUCAGCCACACUGGGACUGAGACACGGCCCAGACUCCUACGGGAGGCAGCAGUGGGGAAUAUUGGACAAUGGGCGAAAGCCUGAUCCAGCAAUGCCGCGUGAGUGAUGAAGGCCUUAGGGUUGUAAGGCUCUUUUACCCGAGAUGAUAAUGACAGUAUCGGGAGAAUAAGCUCCGGCUAACUCCGUG